CGCGGAAGAUGUAACGGGGCUAAAACUAUAUGCCGAAGCUGCGGAUUUGCAAUUUAUUGCAAGUGGUAGGGGAGCGUUCUGUAAGCCGAUGAAGGUGUAUUGAGAAGUAUGCUGGAGGUAUCAGAAGUGCGAAUGCUGACGUGAGUAACGACAAUGCGAGUGAAAAACUCGCACGCUGAAAGACCAAGGGUUCCAGUCCAACGUUAAUCGGGGCUGGGUGAGUCGACCCCUAAGGCGAGGCCGAGAGGCGUAGUCGAUGGGAAAUUGGUUAAUAUUCCAAUACUUCUAUGUAAUGCGAUGAGAGGACGGAGAAGGUUAAGUCAGCCUGGCGUUGGUUGUCCAGGUGGAAGGUUGUAGGCAUGUAUCUUAGGCAAAUCCGGGGUACUCUAUGCUGAGAACUGAUAGCAAGCUGUACUUGUACAGUGAAGUGGCUGAUACCAUGCUUCCAGGAAAAGUCUCUAAGCUUCAGUUACAUAGGAAUCGUACCCGAAACCGACACAGGUGGUCAGGUCGAGUAGACCAAAGCGCUUGAGAGAACUCUGCUGAAGGAACUAGGCAAAAUGGUACCGUAACUUCGGGAGAAGGUACGCUGCCGACGGUGAUAGGAUUUACUCCUUGAGCUAUUGGCAGCCACAGAAACCAGGCCCCUGCAACUGUUUAUUAAAAACACAGCACUCUGCAAACUCGAAAGAGGACGUAUAGGGUGUGACGCCUGCCCGGUGCUGGAAG
rnacentral:rRNA from 1 species